UGGGGAAUAUUGCACAAUGGGCGCAAGCCUGAUGCAGCCAUGCCGCGUGUAUGAAGAAGGCCUUCGGGUUGUAAAGUACUUUCAGCGGGGAGGAAGGCGAUAAGGUUAAUAACCUUGUCGAUUGACGUUACCCGCAGAAGAAGCACCGGCUAACUCCGUGCCAGCAGCUGCGGUAAUACGGAGGGUGCAAGCGUUAAUCGGAAUUACUGGGCGUAAAGCGCACGCAGGCGGUCUGUCAAGUCGGAUGUGAAAUCCCCGGGCUCAACCUGGGAACUGCAUUCGAAACUGGCAGGCUAGAGUCUUGUAGAGGGGGGUAGAAUUCCAGGUGUAGCGGUGAAAUGCGUAGAGAUCUGGAGGAAUACCGGUGGCGAAGGCGGCCCCCUGGACAAAGACUGACGCUCAGGUGCGAAAGCGUGGGGAGCAAACA
rnacentral:rRNA from 1 species